UGGGGAAUUUUGGACAUUGGGCGAAAGCCUGAUCCAGCAAUGCCCCGUGUGUGAAGAAGGCCUUCGGGUUGUAAAGCACUUUUGUCCGGAAAGAAAUCCUUGGCUCUAAUACAGUCGGGGGAUGACGGUACCGGAAGAAUAAGCACCGGCUAACUACGUGCCAGCAGCCGCGGUAAUACGUAGGGUGCAAGCGUUAAUCGGAAUUACUGGGCGUAAAGCGUGCGCAGGCGGUUUGCUAAGACCGAUGUGAAAUCCCCGGGCUCAACCUGGGAACUGCAUUGGUGACUGGCAGGCUAGAGUAUGGCAGAGGGGGGUAGAAUUCCACGUGUAGCAGUGAAAUGCGUAGAGAUGUGGAGGAAUACCGAUGGCGAAGGCAGCCCCCUGGGCCAAUACUGACGCUCAUGCACGAAAGCGUGGGGAGCAAACAGGAUUAGAUACCCUGGUAGUCCACGCCCUAAACGACGUCAACUAGUUGUUGGGGAUUCAUUUCCUUAGUAACGUAGCUAACGCGUGAAGUUGACCGCCUGGGGAGUACGGUCGCAAGAUUAAAACUCAAAGGAAUUGACGGGGUCAUAGCUGUUUCCU
rnacentral:rRNA from 1 species